ACAAGUUUAUAUGUACACAACAAACAAAUGCAUCAUCCAUCUUCAACAAUUUCUUACAGCAUGCAAACCAUACAAGUAUGUCACAGUUUGUGUUAGUCUCUCAACAUACUGGUAACUACAAUGUAAAGCAAAACAAGAUACAUUCAUAAAUUUGUGUUCUAGUUAACAAGAUAUUUAAAUUAACUUACUCCAGUAAAAAUCAGUUGUGAGUAUGCAUUCCUAAUUUCUUCAUCAUAGCACAUUUAAAGUAAUAGAUCUACAAUGCUAUG
rnacentral:lncRNA from 1 species